rnacentral:rRNA from 1 species
UACGAAGGGGGGCUAGCGUUGUUCGGAAUCACUGGGCGUAAAGCGCACGCAGGCGGAUUGAUAAGUCAGGGGUGAAAUCCCGGGGCUCAACCUCGGAAUUGCCUUUGAUACUGUCUGUCUUGAGUUCGGGAGAGGUUGGCGGAAUUCCUAGUGUAGAGGUGAAAUUCGUAGAUAUUAGGAAGAACACCAGUGGCGAAGGCGGCCAACUGGCCCGAUCUGACGCUCAUGUGCGAAAGCGUGGGGAGCAAACAGG